rnacentral:rRNA from 1 species
AAUCAACGCUGGCGGCGUGCCUCAGACAUGCAAGUCGAACGCGAAAGUCCCCUCGGGGACGAAGUAGAGUGGCGCACGGGUGAGUAACACGUAGGUAAUCUACCUUUGGAUGGGGAAUAACAACCGGAAACGGUUGCUAAUACCGCAUAAUGCAGCGGCACCUAAUGGUGACAGUUGUUAAAGCGGGGGAUCGAAAGACCUCGCGUCUAAAGAGGAGCCUGCGGCGGAUUAGCUAGUUGGUAAGGAAUGGCUUACCAAGGCUACGAUCCGUAACCGGCCUGAGAGGGCGGUCGGUCACACUGACACUGACAUACGGGUCAGACUCCUACGGGAGGCAGCAGUCGGGAAUUUUGGGCAAUGGGCGAAAGCCUGACCCAGCAACGCCGCGUGAGUGAAGAA